UUAUACUUAGUGGCGGACGGGUGAGUAACGCGUGGGCAACCUGCCCCGUGCCGGGGGAUACCGCCUGGAAACAGGCGCUAAUACCGCAUAAGCGCAUACAGCCGCAUGGCAGUAUGCGGAAAGCUCCGGCGGCACGGGAUGGGCCCGCGCCCGAUUAGCCAGUUGGCGGGGUAACGGCCCACCAAAGCGACGAUCGGUAGCCGGCCUGAGAGGGUGAACGGCCACAUUGGGACUGAGACACGGCCCAAACUCCUACGGGAGGCAGCAG
rnacentral:rRNA from 1 species